GCCGAGCCUUGUAACGUGGGCUUGUGACCCAAGUGGGGGGCAAUAAUGUGGUGGAAUGUCAGGUUGUUUCUGAAAGCUGGGCAUCGGGUGGCUAAUGUCUGGCUUGCCCUAUCCAAGCAUGGAGUUGAGUCAUAUGGCCCAAACGUAAGUAUGGGCUGCUUGGCUCCUAGAGCGGGGCGGACUGCGUGAGGCUGGUUUCACAGAGCAACGAACAGCUCCCGCUUCGUGCGUUGGAAGGAUAACGGGCCGGUGCUCUCCAAGUCCAACAAAAACCUGAUGGGCUUCUCCAAUCAAACUGCCACUUUU
rnacentral:SRP_RNA from 1 species